AGACAGAAGAAGAGUUGAUGACGAUGGGAAUCGUUGUUUGAUGAGCAGAAACUUAAAGACCUAAAAGCUAUUUAUUUAUUGAGUGAUUGAUUUAAGAACGCUCUCCCUAAUAAAUUGGCUCAUCCUGUUAAAACCGCUGACUCUCAUGUCUUUGCAUGUUCCUUUACAACAAACUUUCUGUUUACCUGCUUGUAAGUUGAGGUCUAUUAUGUUAGCCUUUGUUUUUGGCCCAAUUCACCAUUUUUUUAAACAUUUUUGAUUUUUUGUAAUAAAUUAAGAAUAUUUUUGAGCCAUCCACUGCAUUUCUGGCUGGUUUCUGUAAAUCCCUAACACUGCUGAUGGUUGAUGCUCAGAUCCUAAAUCUGCUAAUUGCACAGGUUUUAAUAGCUGCUGUUAAUCUAUUAAAACUGUUUCAUAUGGAACAGCAGUCUGAGAUGCAGCAGCCGCCCCUAAUAUUUGGUUCUAAACACUGAAAACUGUUCUGUCUCUAAAGAAAGACAACCAGUAAACAACAGGAGCAAUAGCAUCUGAUAAAAAUAUGAAAGUGAUCUUGUCUCAGCAUGUUCUGUAGUUAAACGGUUAAGUUUUAAUUCUUUAAAGACAGGCUUCCGAGGUUUUAGAGCUGGAUACAAUUCUGCAGCAGAGGUUUAUCCAUUUUUAAUGUCAAAGGUUCAAAUACUUUGUUUUUCUGAAUAGCUCAGAGUUGACAAUUAAUCAUUGUCUUUAACAGCAGCAGGGCUCAACAGUUAGCAGUUAGCCUGCAGGUUAGAGACUGAGAGCGCAGCAGAUAGAUGGGACAAGACCAGAACAAGAGGAACCACAACAGAACCAUAGAAAAUCUGUUAAGCAGCUCAGAUUUGGUUCAUUAGCACAGUGCAGAUUCAAGGAAUUGGAUUCUCUAACCAAGUCAUUUCAUUGAGGCGCAAACCUGGUAUGUUCAGACUGGCCACUAGGGAGCAGCAUUUGCUUCAGUUAAGCAAAUACACUUUUCUUCAUGGCUCAACUUCCCAAAGUUUAAAUGUAGCUCAGUGUGGGGUUUUUCACCUGUUUUAGGGUAAUUGUGAUGAUCUGAAUCCAAAAAUCACAUUGGUUUUACUCAAUCAGGUCAACUUUCUGAACUAUGGAUGCAACAUGAGCAUCAAAGAACAUUUUCACAUGUGGAUCAGUUUCCUGAGGAUCAAUGAGUGAAGAGCAGGAGGAGAGACUCCACCAGGACCAACAGAGACAGAGAAUUUAGCACAAUGAAGAUAUAAUGUUCAAUUACAUGCACAUACUUAGUGUUUAUUGGGCAAUUUACAGAAAUCAAAUUUUGUAACAUUGAACUAACACACUCUGAUAGAACACAUGUUUUUCUCCUAAAAUCUUUUUGAAUGAGAAAUAUUAACAGAAAUUAAGUGAUAAUUUAGUCAGAAGAUCGGAUUAGAAUAAAAACCUGACCUGAUUCAGAAAAAUGGAUGUCAUUUUUGGAUUCAGUGGAGCAAAAUAGUCCAAAUCCAGUUGAAAAAACAUAAAUGACUUCCAAAAAAUAUUUUUUGUAAUCUGCUGAUAAAUGAACCGUCUGUUCCUACUUCUCCCCUGCUGGACCUUCUCCAGGAAGGGCUGCGGUUGGUUGGUAUUUUAACUGACAGACCACACCAAUCGAUUGGUUCAUCAUUACCUUCUGAUCAGUCACAUCAUUUCCUGUGCAGACUGCAGUCACUUUUUUCAGAAUCAGACUCCUGGAAUCUGAUUCCAUUUGAUCCAAAUGCCAUAAUGAACCAUUUAAAAAACCCAACAAGAUAAGAAAGUCAUCAUAAGUAUGUCGGUUUAGCUGUAGCAGCUAAAAUUUGCCAGCAGGGGGAAGCCUGCACCAACCGUAAAACUUGGGCUUUAACUAUCUGCUGCAUGUCUUUGGGUACGCCCACACAGUAGCUGCAGGUCGGAGGUCAAACUGCUCCAAAUAAGUUCAACUUUCAGUCAGUAGGAGGAUUCAAACUGCACUUUAAUCUGAGAUUCUGCACAACAAAAUCAUGAGGCUGAUGGGUUCUUCCUGACUCUGGUCCCACCAGCACGAUGCCUUUCUGUCACCUUCAUGCAAACAUUUGGGUCCAUGAGCUCCAUCCAUGUCUGCAUUAAUGCAGCUGAGCUUUAGAAACAGAGGUCAGAGUGCAGGAUGAGGCAGUAGGAUUUGGACCGAGAUUCCUGAUACUUUGGAGAAGUGGAGCUUCAUCUCACAGACAGCGCCCAGCAGGAAGAGUUUCCACAGACAAACUAAGGUUGAUUAUCUUCAUUUGUUUAAAAUCCGUCCAGAUAUUCUGAUUUCCGCUGGACAUUCAAGAAUGAAGGAAAACAUUCUGGGCUCAGUGACUGAAAAAGGUUUGGAUGGGAAGCAGCUGCAGCGUUUUCCAUCGCUUCAUCACUGCUGAUGUUUCCAUGGAAACUGAGUUUUCUGACGUGGUUUGGGUCUGAACUUUAACUCAACAUCAUGCAAGAAAUGGAAACUUUUCCAAAAGGCCAAAA